CCAAUAGCGUAUAUUAAAGUUGUUGCAGUUAAAAAGCUCGUAGUUGAAUUUCGGAAUCAAUUUAUUGGUCGUGCAAUAGUACGUACUGGUUUUAUUGGUUUCUCCCUUCUGAUGAACCAUGAUGUCAUUAAUUUGGUGUUAUGGGGAAUCAGGACUGUUACUUUGAAAAAAUUAGAGUGUUUAAAGCAGGCUCACGCUUGAAUACAUUAGCAUGGAAUAAUGAAAUAGGACGUUUGAUUCUAUUUUGUUGGUUUCUAGGAUCGACGUAAUGAUUAAUAGGGAUAGUUGGGGGCAUUAGUAUUCAAUUGUCAGAGGUGAAAUUCUUGGAUUUAUUGAAGACUAACUACUGCGAAAGCAUUUGCCAAGGAUGUUUUCAUUAAUCAAGAACGAAAGUUAGGGGAUCGAAGACGAUCAGAUACCGUCGUAGUCUUAACCAUAAACUAUGCCGACUAGGGAUCGGAUGAUGUUAAUUUUUUAAUGACUCAUUCGGCGCCUUACG
rnacentral:rRNA from 1 species